UUGACCUCAAAUCAGGUAGGACUACCCGCUGAACUUAAGCAUAUCAAUAAGCGGAGGAAAAGAAACUAACAAGGAUUCCCCUAGUAACUGCGAGUGAAGCGGGAAAAGCUCAAAUUUAAAAUCUGGUAGUCUUUGGCUGCCCGAGUUGUAAUCUAGAGAAGCAUUAUCUGCGCUGGACUGUGUAUAAGUGUCCUGGAAUAGACCAUCAUAGAGGGUGACAAUCCCGUCUUUGACACAGACUCCCAGUGCUUUGUGAUGUGCUCUCAAAGAGUCGAGUUGUUUGGGAAUGCAGCUCUAAAUGGGUGGUAAGUUCCAUCUAAAGCUAAAUAUUGGCGAGAGACCGAUAGCGAACAAGUACCGUGAGGGAAAGAUGAAAAGAACUUUGUAAAGAGAGUUAAACAGUACGUGAAAUUGCUGAAAGGGAAACGCUUGAAGUCAGUC
rnacentral:rRNA from 1 species